UUAAAAGUGUUUCUUUUUUUUUUUUUGUUAAUUUUUCUAAACUUACCUGCCAAAUUAAAAAGUUUGUGGACAAUACCAAUGAUUGGAAAUCCAAGUGGACCAGGCAUUUUCAAAGCAAAUGCAUAAUACUUCCUUCUGGACCAAAGGAAGUAAAUCCACAAAAAUUUGCAGGUAAACAUCUUUUUAUAACCUGGGUUCAUUGGGUAUUCAUUGUUAUUAUAUGCUAUUAAACUUUGAACUCGUGACAUUGACAAUGAGUAGGUUAGGUACAUACGCAUCAUGAAUAAGGGUUCCAAGGUGAAAGUGAGCCAAAAUUAUGUUGAGAUUUUCUGCUUAGUAAUUAUUCAUGUUGAAUGUUUUUUUUUUUGUACUUACCUUAAAAAUGUUUAAACUUAUUUUUAAAUAUAUGUAUACAAAGUAA